AAGUCGUAACAAGGUUUCCGUAGGUGAACCUGCGGAAGGAUCAUUAAUCAAUAUAAAUAUCACCUUUUCAUUCGGCACCGCAAGGUGCUGAAUGAAUAAGGCACACCUUUAGUGAGCUUCUAUGAAGUCCAUUAUCUUCAUAACUCCAUUUAUAUGUCUAAUACCUUUAUUCUCUUUUGAGCCUAGUGCAAGAAAGACAAUAAAAUCACAACAUAUAUACAACCUUUAACGAUGGAUAUCUCGGCUCGU
rnacentral:misc_RNA from 1 species